rnacentral:rRNA from 1 species
CACCCGCGCCACGAGUGGUGGUCGCGUUUAUUGGGCCUAAAGCGUUCGUAGCCUGUUUGGCAAAUCCUUUGUAAAAUUGUUAGCUUGAAUCUAACAGCGUUCAAGGGAGACUACCUGACUAGAGAUCGGGAGGAGAUAGAAGUAUUCUUUGGGGAGUGGUAAAAUAUUAUAAUCCUUAGAAGACUACCCGUGGCGAAGGCGUCUAUCUAGAACGAGUCUGACGGUGAUGAACGAAAGCUAGGGGAGCGAUCCGGAUUAGAUACCCGAGUAGUCCUAGCAGUAAACGCUGUGAGCUAUGUGGUGCAUAUUCUUAGAGAAUGUGCAGUGCCGUAGUGAAGACGUUAAGCUCACCGCCUGGGAAGUACGGCCGCAAGACUGAAACUUAAAGAAAUUGGCGGGGGAGCACUACAAGGGGUGCGGCGUGCGGUUUAAUUUAAUUCCACCCAGAACAUCUCACCAGGAACGACGGCAGAAUGAAGGUCAGAUUGAAGGUCUUACCUAACGAGCCGAGAGGUGGUGCAUGGCCGCCGUCAGUUCGUGCCGUAAGGUGUCCUGUUAAGUCAGGCAACGAACAAGACCUACGCUUACAGUUGCUAACGAGUCUUAAGACGCAAGUCGUACAGAUGAUCGUGCACUUUGUAAGGACUGCCUUCGAAAGGAGGAGGAAGGUGUAGGCAACGGUAGGUCUGUAUGCCCCAAAUUCCUUGGGCUACACGCGCGCAACAAUGGUAGGUACAAUGGGAUGCAACUCUGAAAAGAGAAGCCAAACCUCGAAACCCUAUCCCAGUCUAGAUUGAGGAUUGUAACUCAUCCUCAUGACAUCGGAAUCCCUAGUAAUCAGACGUCAUUAACGUCUGGUGAAUAUGUCCCUGCUCCU